rnacentral:lncRNA from 1 species
ACCUGCACAACUGGAGUUAGGGGAGAGGGAUGAGCUACUAUAGCCCAGUGAGUAGAACAGUAAUAAAGAACAGGUGAUAAAACAUGCUCUCAUGCAAUGUAUCACAUCACAAGUAAUCACAUCUCAGUAUGGACGGAUCAACACUCCCUCUAUACCAUAUGCCUGGUCCCCGUAGGGCUGUUCCAGGUCUUUGUGCCUGGUCCCCGUAGGGCUGUUCCAAGUCUUUAUGCCUGGUCCCCGUAGGGCUGUUCCAGGUCUUUCCUCUGAGGGCUAUUGAAUCCUUACUAUGUCCAUACAGUCAUAGAAUCAAG